rnacentral:tRNA from 1 species
GGGGGUAGAUAAGGACCGGUGUCCUUGCCGAUCUUCAAAAUCGAGUUGUCGUGCUAAUACCACGACUGGUAGGUUCGAUUCCUACAUACUCCCGCCA